rnacentral:rRNA from 1 species
CCUACGUGUGGCAGCAGUGAGGAAUAUUGGUCAAUGGGCGCGAGCCUGAACCAGCCAAGUAGCGUGAAGGAUGACUGCCCUACGGGUUGUAAACUUCUUUUAUAAAGGAAUAAAGUGAGGCACGUGUGCCUUUUUGUAUGUACUUUAUGAAUAAGGAUCGGCUAACUCCGUGCCAGCAGCCGCGGUAAUACGGAGGAUCCGAGCGUUAUCCGGAUUUAUUGGGUUUAAAGGGAGCGUAGAUGGGUUGUUAAGUCAGUUGUGAAAGUUUGCGGCUCAACCUCCAAAUUGCAUUUGAAACUGUUUUUCUUGAGUACUGGAGAGGCAGACGGAAUUCCUUGUGUAGCGGUGAAAUGCGUAGAUAUAAGGAGGAACACCAGUGGCGAAGGCGGUCUGCUGGACAGCAACUGACGGUGAGGCGCGAAAGCGUGGGGAGCAAACAGGAUUAGAUACCCCUGUAGUC